ACCUCGAGUGCCAGGUUACAAAUCUGGCUGUCGAGAUGCCUAAAAAGCAUUUCAUAGCAAGGGCCGGGCAAGACCGGUGCCAGCCGCCGCGGUAACACCGGCGGCUCGAGUGGUAACCGUUAUUAUUGGGUCUAAAGGGUCUGUAGCCGGCCGGAUAAGUCUCUUGAGAAAUCUGGCAGCUUAACUGUCAGGCUUUCAGGAGAUACUGUCUGGCUCGAGGCCGGGAGAGGUGAGAGGUACUUCAGGGGUAGGGGUGAAAUCUUGUAAUCCUUGAAGGACCACCAGUGGCGAAGGCGUCUCACCAGAACGGACCUGACGGCAAGGGACGAAAGCUAGGGGCACGAACCGGAUUAGAUACCCGGGUAGUCCUAGCCGUAAACGAUACUCGCUAGGUGUCGGCCACGGUGCGACCGUUGUCGGUGCCGUAGGGAAGCCGUGAAGCGA
rnacentral:rRNA from 1 species